rnacentral:rRNA from 1 species
UACGGAGGAUCCAAGCGUUAUCCGGAUUCAUUGGGUUUAAAGGGUGCGUAGGCGGAAUGAUAAGUCAGUGGUGAAAUCCUGCAGCUUAACUGCAGAACUGCCUCUGAUACUGUCAAUCUUGAGUACAUUUGAUGUGGGCGGAAUGUGUCAUGUAGCGGUGAAAUGCAUAGAUAUGACACAGAACACCGAUUGCGAAGGCAGCUCACAAAACUGUAACUGACGCUGAGGCACGAAAGCGUGGGGAGCAAACAGG